rnacentral:lncRNA from 1 species
CAUGAGUCUUCCCAAGUCCCCAAAGACCCUAUGUGGGGACUCCCCUGGAGUCAGACAUUUUGAGGGUGAGUGGGAAAAAUUACAUUUUCAUUCUUCUGUGCCUCCUCUAACAGCAAAAAUGAAUAUCUACUUCCAUUUUCCUGGCCCACCCGUGUCCUAUUGUGGAGAAAAGUGCUUCUCUCUGCUCUCAGAAGAAAACAGAAAUUGAGCUGAACAUCAUAAUGAAGAAAAUAAAGACAGGAAGAGAAAAGGCGGAAGGUGGUAC